UCACAGUGAGCCUAGGAUAUGGAUAGAUACCACUGCUCCCGUUUAGCUGUAUUUGCGCAGCAAAGGAUGAUAAUGCCAUCAGAUGCCCAUACCUUAAUGCCGUCAGAUGCCCAUACCUGUUUGCUCAUCCAAGAGACUUUAUAGCAGGUACAAAAGCCGUCUAGCGCAAGC